UACGUAGGGUGCGAGCGUUGUCCGGAAUUAUUGGGCGUAAAGAGCUCGUAGGCGGCCUGUUGCGUCGGUUGUGAAAGCCCGGGGCUUAACCCCGGGUCUGCAGUCGAUACGGGCAUCACUGGAGUUCGGCAGGGGAGACUGGAAUUCCUGGUGUAGCGGUGAAAUGCGCAGAUAUCAGGAGGAACACCGGUGGCGAAGGCGGGUCUCUGGGCCGAUACUGACGCUGAGGAGCGAAAGCGUGGGGAGCGAACAGG
rnacentral:rRNA from 1 species